CUGGGAGUGAGGAACAAGAGAAGGAUUCAGCAUUCAGAACCAGAGCAGUGUUUUACCCAGGUUUCAGCUGUGUUGUCCUCAAGUGCAAAGGGUUCUGGAAAUGUUAACUGUGCUGGUUACUCAGAGGAAGAAGACGGUCACUUGAGCUCAUUACCGCAAGAAGAUCCCCGACUUCAUUCUCACAUCCCUGUGGAAUUCUGGGCAACAAAAGGAUACUCUUCUAUUUGAAGAUAUUGUCCAUCUGAAUAGCUGUCCAGCUUAAGUCUGAGUUAAGGCAAAAGAAUCCAGAAUGGAGAACAGUGGGUCUUCAAGUUGCCCAUCAAGCAAGAGCAUCUGGUUACAGUUUCCCCUUCUUUGCAGAACAGAGUUGUAUAAUUUUCCUGAUUGAGAUGGAGCAAUUAGACCCAAAUAUGUGCGUCUUUAUAUAAAUUAAUGUGUAGAUCAUUUUCUGUUUGAUAUAGGUUACAUUGCUGUCUUUCUUGGAUAGUGGUAACACUGAAGUGGACACCCUAGCUUUUAAUUUUCUGUCUCCUAAAGAUUAUUCUCGAAACAAAAACACAAAAGAUGCUUCAAAAUGGAGGAUUCUGGCUAGGAAAAGCAGUGAAACUUAAAACUUCAUAUAAGUUGGACCCACCAUGUGUUCUCACUAGAACAGUGUUGUGUGGGGGUUUUUUGUUUAGAAUUUUAUUAUCUUAAAACUUCAUCAAGAUUUUGCUACUUUAAAAAUGAAGAGGAUCUAUGUAAAAAUAAUACUCUAGCACAUUUUUCUCUCCCCCCCACUUUUUCCCCUCUGAUCUUUGUUGAAUAAGCCAAGAUGUGAAAACAAAGAGUUCUAUAAGCAACAUGCUAAAAAGAAUUCAAUUCGCUACUGAUUUUUCGUUUAGCAAGCAAUCCCUAGUGGCUUGACAACAUCAAAUGGGAAUUUUUGACUCUUCAUCUGUUUUUUAUUUUAUUCAUGCUUUGUUCUCAUGGUAGCUUUUCAUCUUGAAUUGUCCUCUGUGUUUUUGUAAAGUCUUUCUUAGUGCUAGUUAUUGGCCAAGUCUUUGGGAGAAGCAACACAAUAAGGAAAAAGACCACAGUUGAUUACAUGGUAUAUUUGUAAGCAUAUUUUUAAUGUGUGGAAAUAAGGAAAUCAGCUGUAGUAAAAUGAGAGAAAUGUUACCUUAGAUGUAUCAUGGUAAAAUCAUUAUUCAUCUGGAAAUUAAAAUUUGUAAAAAGGAGCAAAAAAAGCAUAAGAAAGAUAGACUUUUUAAACGAAAAAAAUGUGUAGGAAUUUAUUCUUUCUUCUUAACUGUUUGCUGAGUUUUUCCCCUAAAGCACAGCCAUUGUUGGAAUGCUCAACUCUUGAUUUUUUAAAAAAUGAUGACAUAAAUAUUACAUGACUAAGUCUCAAAAUUCAUAGCAAGAAAUAGACCUAUUCUGAGCUGAUACCUGAACAAAGUUGAAUGCAACCAUCAACCAAGGUGGUUCUACUUUCAUAAAA